UACGUAGGGGGCUAGCGUUGUCCGGAAUCAUUGGGCGUAAAGCGCGUGUAGGCGGUCCGGUAAGUCCGCUGUGAAAGUCGAAGGGCUCAACCCUCGAAUGCCGGUGGAUACUGGUCGGGCUAGAGGUACGGAAGAGGAGAAGUGGGAAUUCCUGGUGUAGCGGUGAAAUGCGACGAUAUCAGGAAGAACACCUAUGGCGAAGGCAGCUCUCUGGGACGGUACUGACGCUGAGACGCGAAAGCGUGGGGAGCGAACAGG
rnacentral:rRNA from 1 species